AGGUAUAUUUGGUUAUUUAAUCUGCACAGAAUUUUUAUAUGGACACCCCUAUUGCAUCCAUGUUUAAAGCACAAAGAGAUUACAAAAUGAGCACAGGGCUACACGGUUCCACAUGAAACAUAAAGAGAUUAAGAAAUUGGCACAGGGCUAGGCAGUUUCCACAUGAUAAAGAUGGGCAUUAAUAGUUUCAGACAUUACAUAAUGCUUGAAUAGCAUGGAAAGCUGCUCAGAUCCUAAGUUGAACUGAAAGAACAUAAAACCUUAUCUGAAUACAGUUAUAGUCUAUUAUAUCACAUUGAUAUCCAUGUAUGUGUAAAGAAAAAUUCCUAGAAGUUGACACGACAUAAUCAUAUUGUUGGUCCUGGUGAUAGGAUCAGAGGUGUUGUUAUUUUUGUCUUUACCCUGUUUCUCUAAGUUUCCUCAAUGAGCAUCCUUACCAGCAUGUCCUACUGCUUCACUGAGUCGCUCUUCCCUUUGUUGUACCUCAAUAUUUCAUAUUCUAUCAAAUGAAAACCACAAGUAUCCAUAUUACAUGAUUGUUGCCAUGUAAAGGGUUCAUAAAAUAACUCCUAGAUGCAGAAACCCUCCCCAUCUCCAUGGCAAUUAAGGCGCCUCCUCAGUUCCCUCGCACUCAAGCAGAGCCCUCUGGAGAACACCAGCUUGGUCCUGAGAUCUGCAGGGCAACCAUGAGGUGUGCAGUGCUGAGUCUGUAGCCAAGGCCAAAGAUCCGCUCAGCUCACCAUUUCCUUCCUUCUCCCCAUUUCAGGCCACACCCUCUGCACUGUCCUGAGGUGUCCAGUCACCAGGUCUCCAUGUCCUGCCUUUCCUGACACGGCCUGGCAGACAGGAUGUCACUGUUGGAAGCAGUCGCCUUCUGCUCCUUCUGGACUGUUGGACUUGGACUAUCAAAAGUGGAGCAGCACCAGGUGUCUGUUACCACAGAAGUCAAGAAGAGCAUCGACAUAUAUUGCAAGAUAUCCAGCACAUAUUUUGAAACUGACAUCAUUCACUGGUACCGGCAGAAGCAGAAUCAGACUUUAGAGCAUCUAAUUUAUGUGUCCUCAACAAAAUCUCCAGCUCGGGGUCAUAUGUGGAGUGGGAAGAACAACAAAGUUGAAGCAAGAAAGAGUUCUCAAAUUUCCACUUCAAUCCUUACCAUAAACUUCAUAGAAAAAGAAGAUGAGGCCAUUUUCUACUGUGCUGGGUGGGACACAGCCACAGUACCAGAACUGUAGCAGGAACUCACUCAAGAUCUCUGCUUG